ACUAGCAGAAUAAUCUAUGCCUGUGAUACCCUGAACAAGCUUGCCCGUCUGAUCUCAGAAGCUAAGCAGGGUCGAGCCUGGUUAGUGCUUGAGUGAGAGACCACCUAGGAAGACCAGGUGCUGGAAGUG
ensembl:rRNA 5S_rRNA 5S ribosomal RNA